AUGGUGCCAAAGCCUGGCUCCAGGAGCUCAAGACAGUGGCCUAUGAGGCAAAUGAAGUCUUCGAUGAAUUCAAGUACGAAGCACUCCGCCGUGAAGCCAGGAAGAAGGGGCACUACAGAGAGCUUGGCUUCGAUGUUCAAGUACCGACCACAGCCGCCGGUGCCCAAGCAGUGGAGGCAGACGGAUUCUGUUAUCACCGACCUGCAAGACAUUGCCAGCAGAUCCAGAGACAAGGAUAAGAAGAAUAUUGUUGCUACACUACUUGGUCAAGCUGACAAUGCAGAUUUCACGGUUGUUCCCGUUGUUGGAAUGGGGGGCCUUGGCAAGACCACAUUAGCGCAACUCAUAUACAAUGAUCCUGAAAUUCAGAAGCAUUUCCAGUUGCUGCUCUGGGUCUGUGUCUCUGAUACAUUUGAUGUGAACUCCCUGGCCAAGAGUAUAGUUGAAGCAUCUCCCAAUAAGAAUGUCGAUACAGACAAACCACCACUGGAUAGACUUCAAAAAUUGGUCAGCAGACAGCGGUAUCUCCUUGUAUUGGAUGAUGUUUGGGACAACAAAGAGUUACGUAAGUGGGAAAGGCUGAAGGUAUGUCUUCAGCAUGGUGGCAUGGGCAGUGCAGCGUUGACAACAACUCGUGAUAAACGAGUUGCUGAAAUUAUGGAUGCAGAUAGGGCAGCCUACAAUCUCAAUGCUUUGGAGGAUCACUUCAUAAAGGAAAUUAUUGUGGAUAGAGCAUUCAGUUCAGAGAAUGGAAAGCCUCCCGAGCUACUCGAGAUGGUUGGUAAGAUUGUGAAGAGAUGUUGUGGCUCUCCAUUAGCUGCAACUGCAUUGGGUUCUGUACUUCGUACCAAGACCAUCGUGAAAGAAUGGAAGGCUAUAGCAUCUAGAAGCAGCAUUUGCACCGAGGAAACUGGAAUCUUGCCAAUACUCAAGCUUAGCUACAACGACUUACCAUCGCACAUGAAGCAGUGCUUUGCUCUCUGUGCUGUAUUUCCCAAGGAUUACAAGAUUGAUGUGGAGAAGCUAAUCCAACUAUGGAUCGCAAAUGGCUUUAUCCCAGAACACAAGGAAGAUAGUCUUGAAACCGUUGGAAAACAUAUUUUUUAUGACUUGGCAUCAAGGUCGUUUUUUGUGGAGAUAGAGGAAAGUAAAAAAGGCUGGCAGGGUUAUUCGAGAAUUACAUGUAAAAUCCAUGAUCUUAUGCAUGAUAUUGCAAUGUCUGUUAUGGGAAAGGAAUGUGUUGUUGCAACUAUGGAACCAAGUGAAAUUGAGUGGCUUCCAGAUACUGCUCGGCAUUUGUUCUUGUCAUGUGAAGAAACAGACCGUAUUUUGAAUGCUACCUUGGAGGAAAGAUCCCCUGCUAUUCAAACAUUGCUAUGCGAUAGUUAUGUGUUCAGCCCAUUGCAGCAUCUAUCAAAAUACAACACUUUGCAUGCCUUGAAGCUCCGUAUGUUAACUGAAUCAUUUCUACUCAAACCAAAGUAUCUGCAUCACCUGAGGUACUUUGAUCUCUCAGAAAGUCGUAUGAAAGCACUUCCUGAGGAUAUAAGUAUUCUAUAUAACCUGCAAGUGUUGGACCUUUCCAACUGCCCUUAUCUUGAACGACUUCCAAGGCAAAUGAAGUAUAUGACUUCCCUCUGCCACCUCUACACUCAUGGAUGCUGGAAGUUGAAGAGCAUGCCUCCAGGACUUGAAAAUCUCACUAAGCUGCAGACUCUCACAGUUUUUGUAGCAGGAGUUCCUGGCCCUGAUUGCGCUGAUGUUGGAGAGCUGCAUGGUCUAAACAUUGGUGGUCAGCUAGAGCUAUGCCAGGUAGAGAAUGUUGAAAAAGCAGAAGCAAAAGUGGCAAACCUUGGUGGUCAGCUAGAGCUACAACGGGUAGAGAAUGUUAAAAAAGCAGAGGCAAAAGUGGCGAGUCUUGGAAACAAGAAGGAUCUCCGUGAACUGACAUUAAGAUGGACUGAGGUUGGCGACAGCAAGGUGCUUGACAAGUUCGAACCUCAUGGUGGGCUGCAGGUUCUGAAGAUAUAUUCCUAUGGAGGAGAGUGCAUGGGUAUGCUGCAAAACAUGGUUGAGAUCCAUCUUUAUCAUUGUGAAGGAUUGCAAAUUUUGUUCAGAUGCAGUGCAAUCUUCACUUUUCCAAAACUGAAGGUGCUUAUGCUAGAACAUUUGUUGAGUUUUGAAAGAUGGUGGGAAAUCGAUGAGAGGCAUGAAGAACAGACUAUAUUUCCUGUGCUUGAGAAGUUGUUUAUUAGAAAUUGUGGAAAGUUGGUAGCAUUACCUGAAACACCAUUGUUGCAAGGACCUUGUGGUGAAGGUGGUUAUACAUUGGUACGCUCAGCGUUUCCUGCCCUAAAGGUGUUCAAAAUGGAAAACUUGGAGAGCUUUCAAAGAUGGGAUGCAGUCGAAGAGACUCAAGGAGAACAGAUAAUGUUUCCUUGUCUUGAGGAACUAUCAAUUCAGGAAUGCCCGAAGCUGAUAAAUUUACCUGAAGCACCAUUGCUUCAAGAACCAUGUAGUGAAGGUGGUUAUAGAUUGGUACGUUCAGCCUUUCCUGCCCUAAAGGUGCUCACUAUGAAAUGCUUGGAUAGUUUUCAGAGAUGGGAUGCUGCUACUGAAGGUGAACUGAUAUUGUUUCCUCAGCUUGAGAAACUAUCAAUUGAGGAAUGCCCAAAGGUAAUAGGUUUACCUGAAGCACCAAAACUCAGUGUACUAUACAUUGAAGAUGGCAAGCAAGAGAUCUUCCACUGUGUAGACAGGUAUUUGUCUUCAUUGACCAAUUUGACACUGAGGCUAGAACACACAGAAACAACAUCAGAGGCUGAAUGCACUUCAAUUGUACUGGCGGACAGCAAAGAGAAAUGGAACCAGAAAUCCCCUCUUACAGUUGUGGAGUUAGGAUGCUGCAACUCAUUCUUUGGACCAGGUGCACUAGAGCCGUGGGACUAUUUUGUACACCUUGAAAAGUUGGAAAUUGGUAGAUGCGAUGUGCUCGUCCACUGGCCAGAGAAAGUGUUCCAAAGCUUGGUAUCCUUGAGGAGGUUAGAGAUUAGUAGCUGCAGAAGUCUGACUGGAUAUGCGGAAGCUCCUCUUGAGCCAUCAGCAUCCAAAAGGAGUCAACACCUGCCAGGUCUGGAGUCCCUUAAUUUAUAUCAUUGUGCAAAUUUAGUAGAGAUGUUCAACGUCCCAGCAUCUCUCAAGAAAAUGGAUAUUUAUGGGUGCAUUAAGCUUGAGUCCAUAUUCAGCAAGCAACAGGGCAUGGCAGAGUUUGUCCAAGUAUCUUCUAGCAGUGAGGAAAUCAUGCCUGCAGCUGUAUCAGAGUUGCCAUCCUCACCCAUGAAUUACUUUUGUCCAUGCCUAGAAGAGCUAAGUUUAAUUGAAUGUGGAAGCUUACCAGCGGUUUUAAAUCUGCCUCCAUCCUUAAAGGACAUAUUUAUUGCUGGCUGCAAUAGCAUUCAAGUCCUAUCAUGUCAGCUGGGUGGGCUCCAGAAACCAGAAGCCACUACCUCCAUAAGCAGAAGUCCUAUCAUGCCAGAGCCACCAGCUGCAACAACACCAACUGCAAGAGAGCAUUUACUUCCUCCCCAUCUCGAAUCUCUAGUAAUAUUGAACUGUGCUCGCAUGUUGGGUGGGACUCUCCGUCUGCCUGCACCCCUCACGACACUGCGCAUUAUUGGCAGCAGUGGGUUGACAUCGCUGGAGUGUCUGUCGGGAGAGCACCCCCCCAUCGCUGGAGUUCCUUGA
rnacentral:rRNA from 1 species